rnacentral:misc_RNA from 1 species
CCCAGCCUCCGCCAUGUCGGCCCCGCCGCGCCACCCUCACUUCUACACCGUCGAGGUCGGCGACACGCGCUUCACCAUACUCAAGCGCUACCAGAACUUGAAGCCCAUCGGAUCCGGAGCACAGGGAAUAGUAUGCUGAUCCAGUAGUGUACGUUAGCCGUUAGAGAUGGUUCAGUUUUACUCAGUCACACUCGGUGACAGCGUGUUCACGAUACCCACGCGGUACACUGAGCUAGUGAGCCGCGGCGCGGGCGCACAGGGGAUGGUGUGCGCCGCGUACGACACUGUGACGCAACAGAAUGUCGCCAUCAAGAAGUUGUCGCGGCCCUUCCAAAACGUCACGCACGCCAAGCGCGCGUAUCGCGAGUUCAAACUUAUGAAACUCGUCAAUCAUAAAAAUAUAAUCGGUCUUCUAAACGCGUUCACGCCACAGAAGAGCCUGGAAGAGUUCCAGGACGUGUACCUGGUGAUGGAGCUGAUGGACGCGAACCUGUGCCAGGUGAUACAGAUGGACCUCGACCACGAGCGCAUGAGCUACCUGCUGUACCAAAUGCUGUGCGGCAUCAAGCAUCUGCAUCUUGCUGGGAUUAUACAUCGGGACCUGAAGCCGUCCAACAUAGUGGUGAAGAGCGACUGCACGCUGAAGAUCCUGGACUUCGGCCUGGCACGCACGGCCGGCACCACCUUCAUGAUGACGCCCUACGUCGUCACGCGGUACUACCGGGCGCCUGAGGUGAUCCUGGGCAUGGGAUACACGGAGAACGUGGACAUCUGGUCGGUGGGCUGCAUCAUGGGCGAGAUGAUCCGCGGCGGCGUGCUCUUCCCCGGGACAGACCACAUCGACCAGUGGAACAAGAUUAUCGAGCAACUAGGCACUCCGUCGGCCGCCUUCAUGGCGCGGCUGCAGCCCACCGUGCGCAACUACGUGGAGAACCGGCCGCGCUACACCGGCUACAGCUUCGAGCGCCUGUUCCCCGACAUCCUGUUCCCGUCCGACAGCUCCGAGCACAACCGCCUCAAGGCGUCGCAGGCGCGGGACCUGCUGUCGCGCAUGCUGGUCAUCGACCCCGAGCGCCGCAUCUCCGUCGACGACGCGCUGCUGCACCCCUACAUCAACGUGUGGUACGACGAGGGCGAGGUCAACGCGCCUGCGCCGGCGUCGUACGACCACUCGGUGGACGAGCGCGAGCACACGGUGGAGCAGUGGAAGCAGCUCAUCUACCAGGAGGUGGUGGAGUACGCAGCACCGCCGCCGCCGCCGCCGCACCACCCGCCGCCCGACCACGCGCAGCCCGCCCUCACCACAUAGGUACCCACACACCACACACCGUCACUUGCAGGAGCUGGUGGAGUACGCACCACCCGCCGCCCGACCACGCGCAGCCCGCCCUCACCACAUAGGCAACAGCAGAGCUGACCGGCGAGAUAUGAAGCGGCCGCGGUCCGCGCGGACGCUCCGCCGGCGGCAGUGAACUCAUGUAUAUAUACCGAGGUGUUAUGUGCAAUACUCCGCGGAUCAAGUGCAAACUUAUUUGACUCGUUCAUUGUCUUGUGUACGGAGAGUGAAUGGCUCAGACACUUAGGCAGCAUUACUGAGGUAACCCGUAGCGUAGCUGAACUAUUUGUACUCUAUUAUGUACCGGUUUGUUUGUAUUAUUUGAUUAAAUACCGUUAUGGACUUGUCUAUUGUAGUCUCUUCCUGUUUCUUAUGAUAUAGCUAGCGUAAGUAAGUCUAGUUCACCGACGUGGGACGCUUGUGUACUAAGCUCAACAGUUGCAAUGCUCGGUUCUGCCGCCACUUGGACAUUCGUUUGCAGUAAGGAGUGCCUUUUGCGAGUUGCAAAUACAAAAACUUGGUGAUUCUCUGCGUAUGGACUGACUUUGAUAUGUUUCAAUAUUUUUGUAAUGAAAAUACAUUAAUGAAUAAAUGACUUAAGUGAUUCCCUGUUUAUGAUGCAAUAUUUUAUCUAUGAACUUUUUAAUUUAUAAUGUACUGUAUGAAUUAUUCGUAACUAUUAAUAAUUAAGAGUUGAGCUUAUACUGUUUUAUUGUAAAAUAUUAUGUUCAAUUUAAUUGUGCAAUUAUGAAUUUUUAUUAUAUUUUAAUAUUAAUGAACUUGUGUGAUCACUAUUGCAAUUUCUUUUCUCAUCCCACUUUGCCAAUAUCUGAAGAAUUUCUAAACGAAUUAUAAGUACAGUGCCAUUCAGAAGCUGUUUGCCAUAGGUAGGUACUCGAAUACUAGUGACUUUUGUAAGAAUUUGCAAUUGUGAAGUAAAUACUGAGUGAUUCAUGAACGUGUAUUAUAAUUUGUUUCUUAGCCAUACACAUUGUCUGAUAGUUACUCGGGAUUUUGUGAUGUUCAUAGUUUUCUCGUAAGUAGACCCUAGUUACGUUGUUGAUAAUAUUGUAUUGAGUGUACGGAGUAGAUCAUUAAGUACAUUUCUACCUAAUUAGUAUGUUAUAGUCACCUCACACGUUGCUGAAGAGAACUCAAAUCUAAAUACGUAAUACACACGAGUUCUCACAGACAUAGUUACUGAUCACCUUAUAUACAUAUACCUAGCCAGCCGGCCGUGAGACGUUGUUGCUCCCAGUUCGCGGGAAUAGGACAUAAGUAAACGUUGAUACUUGCCUCCAGACGUCGCUUUGUAGAAACAAUAAGUCUCGUUAGGAUUAAAUGAUAAUAAACGUCGGCAAAUAGUUCCCGUCUCUUGUACAUUAGGGUUACAUUCACGUUUCAGUUAUAAGACGCUGACUCGAAGCGAUUUGUUUUACUCUUCGUCAAAGGCUUAACGUGUGAGGGAUUCGUAGGUUAUUGUUUGAAACCUCACUAGGUGAUAUAAUUAUGAAUAAGGAUAAUAAAGAAUGAUGAUAGUCUAAAGGAUGGUUUCAGCAAAUAGCACAAUUUAUUAGCUAUAGAAUACAGGACGGUGACAUAAGUUUGUGAUGUGCGCAUCAUUUUGUAUAAUCGUUAAUAAUGUUAUUACGGAAGCAAUAAUACAUCAUUUUCUGUUCGUUCGAACAGUGGUACAUCAGUGUUCAUAAGUUUUAAUUAUUUCGGCUCUAAACAUAUCACGGACGACACAAUAGAUUUAUUUUCCAUUGAAUGAUGAAUUCAUCGCUCGUAUGUUUGUAAUGUUACUUUACUUUUGUUCCAUAAUGUUAUAGGUACGUCAAUAUUAAGAAUAUAAUACAGAAACGAACUGAAACCUAAAGAUAGCAAGAUAUGGAAAUAUCUUGAACGAAUUGUAAGGUUUCUAAGCGAUGGUAAUCCAACAGGGCAGACUCGCCGUGUUAAUUCUUGACUACAGUAAGACAAUGUUGUUAAACGUAAAAAGAUGAAAUUAUAAUAAAUUUGCGAGAGUAUACAAUAAUAUUUAAUAUUUUAGGUGUAGUGUAAAAUCUGUAAAUAUUAACACUUAAAUGUAUGGAACGAAAGUGAAGCGAACAUGCUGUGUAGCCUUAAAGCAUUCUGUUUAUCACUAUAGUAAAUAAAACCACAACUGUACGUCCAAAUUGUCCAUUUAUGUGUUAAUGUACCUAUUACAAAUUACAAUAAUAUAAUCAUUAGAAUGUAUUUUAGUACACUUGGUGACAAGAUGUUAAGGUAGUCGCCAUGUUGAGUCGCAGCCGCGCUCUCUGCGAUAUACAUACUUGAGUUACAACUUCAAUGACUAUCUAAAAACAACUUAUUUUUACUGUACACGUAAGUUAUUUCAUAUUUUAACUGAAUAAAAUCGAAAUGGUUAUUAUA